UACGCAGGUGGCAAGCGUUAUCCGGAAUUAUUGGGCGUAAAGCGCGCGCAGGUGGUUUCUUAAGUCUGAUGUGAAAGCCCACGGCUCAACCGUGGAGGGUCAUUGGAGACUGGGAGACUUGAGUGCAGAAGAGGAAAGUGGAAUUCCAUGUGUAGCGGUGAAAUGCGUAGAGAUAUGGAGGAACACCAGUGGCGAAGGCGGCAUCCUGGACCAACACUGACACUGAGGAGCGAAAGCCAGGGGAGCAAACGGG
rnacentral:rRNA from 1 species